CCUGAGAAAUAUACAAAUAGUCAAGUAAACUUAACUACCUGCUGACUCACAUGAAGUACUCCAUCUACUCUAACCCCAUGUUAUGAAGGCAAGAAAAUUGAUUUUUAUCUAAACAAUAGUUUCAGUUAGUUUUAGUUCGGUUUUUUUAACUUAGAAAAUUACAUCUAAUACUUUGAUCAGGUUAGGCUUUAGAGUACUUAAGGGACCACUGAGGUUGAAGAACAGUCCUAUGCAGAGCUUUGAUGACCAUCAUCAACAUGUUUUAGCUGCAAACUCAUCAAAGGGGCUGCGUGAAAAAUAUGUUGAACAACCAGUUUGUUGGCUACUAUUGUUUCUCAGUCCUUUAGCUUAGCUCCUGCCGGCAUGGGAACAAAAAAAAGUGAAGUGUUAAAAACAAUGAAAAUUCUCCACUGAAGCCACUGUCUGUGCUUCUUGUGCUGCUUUUUUGAUCUCUUGUUUUUUCCUAUGCUUCCCCACUUAAAGGUGAUCUCAACUGUUGCUUUCUUUUCCAUUCAAGCCCACUUUUGAACCAAUAAGCAUCUGCGCAUUUAUAUGAUAAGUUAUUUAAGGACACGGACACUCUGUCCUCUCUGGACGUCAUAUUUCAAACCUGUUUCUAGAACAAAAUGACUGUGUGUGACUGUGUGUACAGUAGUUGGAGUAAUGUGUGCCUACACCGCUUACUUGGGCUACCCUUGUAAAAACCUGUAAAUUAUUGAAUGGUUGUCAAACCACAACUUUAUUGACAUAUACUGUCAAAAAUCAUCAUUAAGAGUACAGGGGAGAUCAUCUUUAUGAGGGAAAGAAUUAAGACACCUGACUGGCAGGGGGCUUACAAUUGUGUUUUUACAUGUCAUGUGAUAUUAGUGGUCACUAGGGGAGGAGCUGUAGCAUACUAAUUGCAACAUUGUGCAACAUACUGAUACUGAAUUCUCUCCAACGUGUUCAUCUAAGUAAAUGAGUGUGGUAUAAAGUGCUUUGAGUGCUCGAAUAGAAAAGGGCUUCAAAAGAACCAGUCCAUUCACAAUCAGUAGCUGUGUAUUCAAACUUCACUUUAGAUCAGAGGUGUCAAAUUCUUUACAGCCCACUUUGAUCUCCAGUGCGUGGGAUCACUCUAUAAAAAACUAACAUAUUUCUUUUUUGUUUAGAGUAAAGAAAUGCAGCCUGAAAAUGUUCCCAUUUAAUGAACCAUGAACAGCUGGCCUGAUGUGUCUUUAGAACAGUAGGUGCAAUUUGAAAUACAUGUCUUGGGUUUUCCACAUGCUGCCAGUCUACUGUCAUGAGAAAUAAAACAUGUGAGCACAGCUCUUUGGUUUAACCAUCUACCUUUAAUGUGGUAUAAAAGGUCAUGACUAUAAAAGUGCUUUAAUCAAUUUUUAACAACUUACAACACUAAGCUUCCUGGCUUCAUACUUUAUAAAGUGGAUCCAGUGAGUCAGACUGGUCCCUUUGGAAGGCUGGUUCUCGCCCUCUAGCUAUAUGGUUUACACCCAUGCGUGAAGUGAUAUUUCAUUUAGUUCAAAUGAACUAAAUGAAAAUGCAGUACAGAAAAAGAGAAGCAGGCGAUAUACGUUUAGUUUCAAUACUUCUUUUCUCGUCUUUAAGCGUAGUAAAAAUGACCCCUGUAGAAUGUGGUUAGCUGAACCAAAACUAAGAAUAAGCCCACUUGCAUUUCAUGACAUGACGGGUUGGGAUCAAAAUCUUGAGGGCUGUCCAAUCAGCAUUUACCUGUUAAAUAUCGAUUGAAUUUGUGAAAAAAUUAAGCUGAAUGAGUGGUAAACCCCUACACAGAGAGCAUUCUUGGCACAGGAUUGCUCAGUGGUCGCUCAACAGGACAUCAUGCUGUAACUUUAACGCUCAGGUUUCUAACUUUGAAAGCAACAUUCUUUUUUUUUAUAGUUAUUCAACACAGCAGAACUACCUCAAAACUAUCCACCUUUAACAUAAAGACUCCCUUGUAGAAUUUGAUUCCUAAAUUCAACGAGUAUAUUUAAGAAAUCCUAAAAGGAGUAAAAGGCCCUGCACUUAUUUUAAAAUUAAAUGUAAAUAAACACGUAUAAAAACCAUUCAGUGAAAUCCUACAAAUCUGUUUAUAUACAUCAGUGGCAUACUGGGGGUUUCUUAUCAGCCUUAUCUGCAGAAUUUCCUCUAAAUGCAUCCAAUUGCUGCUGUUGCAGCACUGCAACAGGGGCAUUACUGCUGCCGCUGGAGACGAGGGCAAACAAACAAGACGUUGUAACUUAGCUCAGUUUUAUCCAUGCAGAUACUAAAAUACUAACACAAGAACAACGGAUGGCCAUCUCCAACUCCAGCGUAAGGAAUUAAAUGAAAAUAUGUCUAAAUGAAACCCAAAUGAUUGGAACAUCUGUGCUAUAUCUAUCAUUUUCUUCACAGUUUAUUUUUCUUUAUAUGCACAAGUUCAGUUCUUAACCUCUAAAAAUCCCCUAACAAAUGAAACAUCCCUGGGUCGAUCCCAAGAGGAGACACAAAUCCCUUAGAGGGGUUGCGUCAGGAAGGGCAUCCGGUGUAAAAAACAAUAAGCCCUAUCAAAUAUGCGGACCCUAACCCCAUGUGAUUACUGGAGCAGGUGAAAGUAGCUUCACUUUUCUGGAUGUUUUUGUCAGGCCCAGCAGAUAUUCUCAUCUCUUACAAACUGUAUGCAAAAACUGUGAGGAUGGAAAAUAUAGAGAACAUAUUACAGACUAUUAAACUCAAACACUGGCUCAUUAUGAAAUCCUGAGAAGUGGAGACAGAUCCUUUUGGAGACUUGCAUUCACCGAUAAAAGCAGCGGGCUUCCUGAAAGAAAUAUAUUACUGCUACGCAGACUACAGAAUUACUGCUAAAUCAACCCAAGCUAAAUCAUCGUCUGGAUCUUUCUUUUUUUUUUUAAUUGUUAUUUUUUCCAUAGGGGGUGUUUGCCGGUCGGUGUCACUGCAUUGUAUCGUAUUGUAUUUAUAAAGCCGUUUUCAAAAGAUCACAGCCAAAGAGCUCGCACUGAUAAUAUACCGUGAAAUCACACUUUGUAAAGAUAUUAUUUUGAUGUUAAUGUUAAUUAUUAACGACAUGACAAUAAUGUCUCCGUACAUUAUGUCACCUUUGCAUGCCUCUUGAUGACAAGCAGAGCAAGACGGCUUCAAGGCUAACAGGCUGCUAACGCUGCCUCUUAUCGUGAAGCACACUCUCCCUAACCAACUACUUAUCGCUCUACCGGGUGGACAUCUUAAAGCGAUAAGAAAAAGCAAGGCUAAAAGGUGGAUCAGAUAUCAGCUCUAACGGAAGGUUAAGAGAAGAAAUCCCUUUACCUUUGACUGGGGAAGUGUACGCCAUGAUGACUUCUGAAAUCAACACGACCCGUUCUCACUACUGAGCAGGCAGCACGGAGCCGACCAAUCAGAUCACAGAGAUCUCUGACCAUGCCCAUCUGUCGACUACUGACAAAAUUAAAACAUUUUUACAGCAAAA